rnacentral:rRNA from 1 species
UGCAGUCGAGCGGUAAGGCCCUUCGGGGUACACGAGCGGCGAACGGGUGAGUAACACGUGGGUGAUCUGCCCUGCACUUCGGGAUAAGCCUGGGAAACUGGGUCUAAUACCGGAUAUGACCUUCGGCUGCAUGGCUGAGGGUGGAAAGGUUUACUGGUGCAGGAUGGGCCCGCGGCCUAUCAGCUUGUUGGUGGGGUAAUGGCCUACCAAGGCGACGACGGGUAGCCGACCUGAGAGGGUGACCGGCCACACUGGGACUGAGACACGGCCCAGACUCCUACGGGAGGCAGCAGUGGGGAAUAUUGCACAAUGGGCGAAAGCCUGAUGCAGCGACGCCGCGUGAGGGAUGACGGCCUUCGGGUUGUAAACCUCUUUCAGCAGGGACGAAGCGAAAGUGACGGUACCUGCAGAAGAAGCACCGGCUAACUACGUGCCAGCAGCCGCGGUAAUACGUAGGGUGCAAGCGUUGUCCGGAAUUACUGGGCGUAAAGAGUUCGUAGGCGGUUUGUCGCGUCGUUUGUGAAAACUCACAGCUCAACUGUGAGCCUGCAGGCGAUACGGGCAGACUUGAGUACUGCAGGGGAGACUGGAAUUCCUGGUGUAGCGGUGAAAUGCGCAGAUAUCAGGAGGAACACCGGUGGCGAAGGCGGGUCUCUGGGCAGUAACUGACGCUGAGG